UCUCAAAAGGGACCCUAUGUUCUAACCAUGCUCUCACCAGGGCCUGACGACCUGAACAGUUCUACCCAUUCCUCGCAGCUUUGCCUGACUGUUUCACACACGUUUCCCCCUUCCCUGCCACGGCACCUCAGAACCUAACCAAAGCACCUGCACAAGGUGCCCCUGGAGAGAAGAUGUGAAGAAUGGCUGGCUGUAUGUUUUGACAGGGGAGUAAGUCCUGUCAAUUAGAAAAUGUAUUAAAAGUCUC